UUACCCACAGCGAGCGAUGCAGUGAUAGCAAGAUUAGAGACACUGAACAAAGUCGCUCUCCUUCUCGUCAGCAUGCCUUCUUCGGACUAAAAAAUCUGUGUGUUGGUGGGUCGGUCGGUGGCUGUUCCUGUUUGAGGUUUGGUUUUUGAAGGACGCAAAUCAUCUCAGCGGUGGUGAAGGACUCGAGCCGAAGAUGUCUUUCGAAUCUCCGAGCACGGAUUUCUUCCGUGGGUUGGACAUGAAUGCGUUGGGCAUUGAUCAGGCCUACGUGAACAUCACUCAUCAGUUGGAGGAAAAAUCCGUUUACUUGUACAAGCUGAGUGCCGAUUGCGAGAAAUGCCCAUUUGUGUACCAUGACGAGACAGGAGAGCCAAUUGGAAGCGAGGGGUACAAUUUCACGAUUGUGACCCAUUACCCUUGGCAAUUACGACUAAGAUCCAGCAAUGAGAACCACUCUGUUUCACAAUUCAUCCAAGACCCACAUGAGCUAUGUACGGUAGGCGUGAAUGGAGGCGAAUAUGGCGUAUAUGAUAUCAUCCUGGACGAGACUCAGUCCUGUACAGUGGUUGAAGCUCUGGAAGCUACAAAUUCCAACUUGGCAUUACUGUACUGCUUCUUGAUUCUUUUGGGCCUCGGUAUUCUGUUUCAAAUGUUGGUUUUUGUGAAUAAGAAAGGAUACUUGGAUGGACUCAAAUCUAUUCUCAGAGGUUUCAAGAAGAGCUUGGGAUUCGAGGUCAAAGAGAAGCCUGAAAAGGAGGACAAUAACAAUGAGACUAGUCGGCCUCCGAUGAAAAACCGCCUCAAAUCAUUGGACACUUUCCGAGGUAUGAGUAUCGCCUUGAUGAUCUUUGUCAACGAUGGCGCCGGUGGUUACUACUUUAUGGAACACUCGACGUGGAACGGCCUUUUCGUGGCGGAUUUGGCCUUCCCCUGGUUCAUGUGGAUUAUGGGUUUUUGUAUUCCAAUGUCUGUGCGAUCUUUCACCAAGAAGAACACGGCCCUGCCCGUUAUUCUCAUUCGGAUCGUCAAACGAUCCAUCAAACUCUUUCUGCUGGGUCUUUUCUUCGCGAAUAAUGGGAACAUUCAGUUGGAAAGGCUGAGGAUUCCAGGAGUUUUGCAACGAUUUGCGAUCUCAUAUUUGGUCGUGGCUGGAACAUCCGCCAUCAUCGGCAAAUACAUGAAACCAAUGGAUACCGAAACGAUUCGGGGAUGGCGGUCGUAUGUUGUCGACAUUUUCACCCAUUGGCCUCGAUGGAUCGUGGCAUUUGCCGCCAUUUUCAUUCACGCAUGCAUCAUCUUCCUUCUGCCGGUUCCCAAUUGUGAGACAGGCUAUUUGGGACCAGGCGGCCUUCACGACGACUCCGAGCAUUUACCCGAGUGUAUUGGCGGUGCCACCGGCUACAUUGACAAACUCAUUCUCACCAACGCUCACAUCUACAACUAUCCCACAGCUAAAGCCGUGUAUCAAUCGAGUGCCUUCGACCCCGAGGGAAUCUUGGGUUGUUUGCCAUCGAUUUUCCAUGUGUUUUUGGGCUACCAGGCCGGUCAAAUAAUUCUAUCCUACUCGGGACAUCGACAACGGGUGACACGGUAUCUCAUUUGGUUCCUCGGAACCGGCAUCCUGGCCUUGGGACUGUGUGGAGCCUCACUCAAUGACGGACCAAUUCCUAUAAACAAAAACUUAUGGUCUCUGUCAUAUGUGUUCGCCACCACAUCCCUGGCAAACAUUUUGAUGGCUUUGGUCUACGUUAUCGUGGACGUCAAGGAAUGGUGGGGUGGGGAGCCAUUCUUCUAUGCGGGCAUGAACUCAAUUGUUCUUUAUCUUGGUCAUGGACAGGCCCAUGCCUUGCUUCCUUUCAACUACAAGUUUGGCGAUAUGAACACACAUUGGGGUCUUUUACCGGAGUCGCUUUGGGGAGUCUCACUUUGGAUGUUGGUCGCAUAUAUCAUGCAUCAAAGCAAUGCGUUCAUCAUUGUUUAACAAAGGAAUGAAAAUAUACAGUAUCAUUCAUAUCUUGUCGCAUUACUUGUUCACGCCUCAGGGGCGUUUGAAUUGAGUUCAACCAUGAUCAGACGUUGCUAACCCUCCGGGGCUGAAACCUGAAAGCCAAUGAAGUGUAUAAGGAUCCCAUUCAAAAUGGGAAUGAAUGCUAUUGUCCUCUACCUGGGCCAUCAAAUCGGUUGGCGGUUGCUCCCGUUUCACUUCGCCGUGGGAACGAUGAACACCCACUGGAUCCAUUUGGUGGAAUCCCUCUGGACCACUUCACUUUGGAUGUUCGUGGCUUUCGUAAUGUUCAAGAAAAAUGCAUUUGUCGUAGUGUAAGCGGUCGCGCGAAAACCGAAUGGAAUAAUAAAUCUGAUUGUUUUCAAAGGUU